GCAUUGGUGGUUUAGUGGUAGAAGUCUCACCUUUUACGUGGGAGACCCAGAUUCAAUUCCUGGCCAAUGCA